rnacentral:rRNA from 1 species
GAUGAACGCUGGCGGCGUGCUUAACACAUGCAAGUCGAACGGUGAAGCAGGAGCUUGCUCUUGUGGAUCAGUGGCGAGCGGGUGAGUAACACGUGAGCAACCUGCCCCUGACUCUGGGAUAAGCGCUGGAAACGGCGUCUAAUACUGGAUAUGUGAUGUGACCGCAUGGUCUGCAUCUGGAAAGAAUUUCGGUUGGGGAAGGGCGCGCGGCCUAUCAGCUUGUGGGUGAGGUAAUGGCUCACAAAGGCGUCGACGGGUAACCGGCCUGAGAGGGAGACCGGGCACAGUAGGACUGAGGCACGGCCGAGACUCAUACUGGAGGAAGCAGUGGGGAAUAUUGCACAAUGGGCGGAGGGCUGAUGCAGCAACGCCGGGUGGGGGAUGACGGCCUUCGGGUUGUAAACCACUUUUAGCAGGGAAGAAGCGAAAGUGACGGUACCUGCAGAAAAAGCACCGGCUAACUACGUGCCAGCAGCCGCAGUAA